rnacentral:rRNA from 1 species
GACGAACGCUGGCGGCGUGCUUAACACAUGCAAGUCGAACGGAAAGGCCUGCUUUCCCUUGUGGAUUGCGGGUACUCGAGUGGCGAACGGGUGAGUAACACGUGAGUGAUCUGCCCCCAACUUGGGUAUAAGCCUGGGAAACUGGGUCUAAUUCCCGAUAGGACUGCAGGGUGGUGCCUGUGGUGGAAAACGAUUUUCUAGUGGUUGGGGAUGAGCUCGCGGCCUAUCAGCUUGUUGGUGGGGUAAUGGCCUACCAAGGCGGCGACGGGUAGCCGGCCUGAGAGGGUGGACGGACACAUUGGGACUGAGAGACGGCCCAGACUCCUACGGGAGGCAGCAGUGGGGAAUAUUGCACAAUGGGCGGAAGCCUGAUGCAGCGACGCCGCGUGGGGGAUGACGGCCUUCGGGUUGGAAACUCCUUUCGACCGCGAGGAAGCCACCUGGUUGGAAGGGUGGUGACGGUAGUGGUAGAAGAAGCACCGGCUAACUACGU